UGGAUCUCUUACGCUGUGAAAGCCUUCUUGGUUUAGACCCGGCGACUUGUAGCAGAGUUCUCAACAAAAAUUACACGCUGCUUGUUUCCAUGGCACCCCUUACCAAUGAAAUCCGGCCAGUCAGCAGCUGUACCCCUCAGCAUAUUGGACCAGCUAUCCCAGAAGUGAGUUCUGUGUGGUUUAAACUGUACAUUUACCAUGUCACUGGGCAAGGACCGCCAUCUCUCUUACUGUCCAAAGGUACAAGACUGCGGAAACUGCCAGACAUAUUCCAGGGUUAUGAUC